rnacentral:lncRNA from 1 species
CGCUCCAAGGAUUUAUUGAGUACUUGGCAACCAACAUAAGUAUGCAUCUUGUGGGGAUGUCUCAUUGAAAAGGCAGGUCUCAUAUGUUAAAUAUAAAUAUUAAGAUCAGAUGGCCCUCAAGGAAAGUCACCCUAUGAGAAAUUUCUCACCUACAAAGAAUUCAAAUAGAUGUGUUGAAGAUCAUGAAAGAAAGGAAAAAGAAUUUGAUCCAUCUCCUCCGUUUCUUUAAACAAGAGCUGCUCCUCCAUUGGCAUCGCAUUUUUAUUUCCUAAAAACACAUAUUAGUCUACACUUCCAUGACUUUUACUAAAUGCAUUAGUACAAAAAAAGUAGUCACCAGCCAAGGUCUAACGAUUUUGUAAUGCAUUUUAUGCGAAGGAUGAUGAAACUAAUUAUCGAUAUAUGAAAACACAUGAAAGAUGUUUCAUGUAUUAUUUUUAAAGUAAAAAAGGCAACAUGAUUUUUUAGGCAUAUAGCAACAAAAUAAACUUUAUUCACUUCUUUCCCUAAUAAUAAAGCAUCUAC